rnacentral:rRNA from 1 species
UACGGGGGGUGCGAGCGUUGUCCGGAAUCAUUGGGCGUAAAGAGCUCGUAGGCGGCUUGGUAAGUCGGAUGUGAAACCUCCAGGCUCAACCUGGAGUCGCCAUCCGAUACUGCCAUGGCUAGAGUCCGGUAGGGGCCCACGGAACUCCUGGUGUAGCGGUGAAAUGCGCAGAUAUCAGGAAGAACACCGGUGGCGAAGGCGGUGGGCUGGGCCGGCACUGACGCUGAGGAGCGAAAGCGUGGGGAGCGAACAGG